ensembl:snRNA U6 U6 spliceosomal RNA
GUGCUCACUUUGGCAGCACGUAUACUAAAACUGGAACAAUACAGAGGAGAUUAGCAUGCCCCCUGCAUAAGGAUGACAUGCAAAUCUGUGAAGCAUUCCUUUUUUUU